CCGCGUGUAUGAAGAAGGCCUUCGGGUUGUAAAGUACUUUCAGUUGUGAGGAAGGCGUUGGAGUUAAUAGCUUCAGCGCUUGACGUUAGCAACAGAAGAAGCACCGGCUAACUCCGUGCCAGCAGCCGCGG
rnacentral:rRNA from 1 species